UCAAGCUGCUGCUGAAGUUAAGCUUUGUGAAGAAUUAGUUCUGAUCUGUUUUUGAGUGCUGGAGUUGGGGAAAAUGGAGAGAAGAUAUUUGUUUGCUUGAUUCCACAUGACAACUCCAGGGUAACUGAAUAGACUGUACGGUUGGUUUGACAAGGCUGUGCACCGAGCCAGCAGCCUCACAUACCAGAGACGGGGGAUGGAAGGGGGACUGACAACUGUAAUGGAUUUUUAUCAGAAUUUCUCUAAAGAGCGACAAUUUCCCUUCAAUUAUUAAUGUUUUUCAGAGAUUUUUCUUCUGAGAGUCUCUUUCAUCCAAGGCAUCCAAAGCACUUCAUGCAACCCGGAGUAUUAAGCAUGGCAACAUGUCUGCAAGGUUGGUGCCAAGGAACUCUUGAAAUAUGCCCCGGAUUUAUUCUUUGUAUUAAAUUGAUCACUAGUCUGCAGGACUGUUUCUAUUCUGUCCACAUCUGAGUUUUUCAUGCACAUGGUGCAUGCAGAGGUUUGGCUGAGCAGCAGCAAACACAGCCAUGCAUCAUCUGUUUGGGCUGGUUUUGGCACAGAAGGACCUUUCACGUGCAGGGGAUCUUUUCUCCUUAGACGAUGCUGAAAUCGAAGGAAGCCUCUCAGAAGCUCUUGAACAAAUAAGAGUAAUUAGUUCGUCUGUGGACUACCAGACCAAUGACAAUGACCAGGCUGUGGUGGAAAUCUGCAUCACUCGCAUCACCACUGCCAUCAGGGAGACGGCGUCCAUAGAAAAGCAUGGGAAAGCCCUCGUGGCUCUCUGGGAGUCUUGUCUAGAGCACAACCUGAAGCCUUCUGGUAAAGAUGAGGACACACCACAUGCAAAAAUUGCAUCCGAUAUCAUGAGCUGUAUCUUGCAGAAUUACAAUCGACCUCCGGUAAUGGCCCUAGCUGUUCCAGUGGCAGUGAAAUUUCUUCAGAGGGGCAAUAAGGAACUGUGCAGAAACAUGUCAAGUUAUCUAUCCUUGGCUGCAAUCGCUAAAGCAGAUCUGCUGGCUGAUCACACAGACACCAUUGUCAAAAGUGUCCUUCAAGGGAACUCGAUGCUGCUGCGUGUCCUGCCUGCUCUGUACGAGAAGCAACCGCAGCUGAUAAACCUCCAUCUGAGGGAGCUGGUGGCACUGAUGGCUCAGCUGGAUCAAGCCGAACAGCACCAUCUUCUCAGGCUCCUCCAGAUUGUGGCUAGGAGAAAAGAACUUGGGGUGCUGAAAGAGUGUAUACCACUUCUAUUUGGCCACCUGAGAGACCCUAACCAUGGUGACAUUAUUCUAAACAUACUUAUAGAAAUAUCUAGCUAUGAACCAACAGCCUUAGCUGCUUUUCUUCCAAUGUUGAAAGAAAUUGGUGAGAGUUUUCCAAGUCUGAUUGGGCAAACAGCAAAGAUCUUUGGAGCUGUUGGACAUAUUGAUGAGGAGCAAGCCAGAAUAUGCCUGAUGUAUUUGGUGAACCAGCUGGCCAACAUGGAGCACUCAUUUCACCAUAUUCUUUUGCUGGAAAUUAAGAGUCUCACUGACACCUUCUUGAGCAUCUUGGGUACCCAGAGCAGAGAUAUCUACCGCAUGAGCAACAGUUUCACCACCAUAGCCAAGCUCCUGGUCCGACAGCUAGAAAGCGACAACACGGCAGGAGCCAGAAUGGAAAAUGAUGCUGAAACAGAAUCCCCUGUACCACUGGAUGAUUUCAAAUCUGUUAUGAAUGGAAAUGAAGAAGAUGAAAAACUUCAAGUUAAAAUACAGGCUUUUGAAGAGAAAAUAAAUGUUGACAACAGUACUCCUGGCUCAGUGCGGAGAUACAGUUUAGGCCAGGUUUCUAAAGAAGAAAGGAAGGAUAUGAGAUUUAACAGGUCCAAAAGCCUCGCUUUGCAUGCAGUCCGCACGAAGGGGGUUAACUCAGAGAGCGGCCAGGACGAGGAGAAUGGGGAGAUAACUGCUGGUAUCUCCUUCACAGAGAUCUACAUUAGCCAAGAAAAUGAUAAAUUGCCUUUUAGUGUUGAUACUGAAGCAAUGCAACUGGGAAAUUCCGUGGUUUCACGCCAAAGUAUCGAUUACCCAGAAUCAGCAAAUCUGCCAGAAUCUGCUAAAGAAAAGGCCCUCGAAGGAAGCCCGGAGGCAGUGACGAGCCCUGUGGAAUACCAGGACAAGCUCUACUUGCACUUGAAGGAAAACCUGGGUAAAGUGAAAGCAUAUGUCACAGAGAUGGGGAGGAAAAUUCCUAUCCCCGAUCAGUGUGUUAUUGAAGAUACUGUUAGAAGUUGUGUCGCAAAGCUGUCUUUCAGCUGUCCCCUGAAGGGCCAUUACUGCUUGUACAGUAAAUCCAGUUUUACCCUCGUCAGCCGGCAGCCUCCGCUGUGGAUCCAUAUCAUGUUCCUCUUUCAGCAGAGCUUGUUUGCAGAGCCUUUGUCCAUACAGAGUAAUUCUGUGCAAGUCCUUAAGGCCCUGUGGGAGAAGACACAGCUUAAGGGGACACACAGUUUUGAAACUGCCAUGAUCCAGUCUACGUUUCCACACCAAAAGGACCUGGACCAUGUGCAGAUGCACCUGGAAGAAGUGAGGUUCUUUGAUUUAUUCGGCUACAGCGAGGAAGCAGGAGCUUGGCAGUGUUUCAUGUGCAAUAACCCUGAAAAGGCAACAGUUGUAAAUCAGGAUGGCCAACCUCUGAUUGAAGGCAAGCUCAAAGAGAAGCAAGUCCGGUGGAAGUUUAUCAAAAGGUGGAAAACUCGCUACUUCACUCUGGCUGGCAACCAGCUGCUUUUUCGGAAAGGAAAAUCUAAAGACGACCCCGAUGACUGCCCGAUUGAGCUCAGCAAGGUGCAGAGUGUUAAAGUGGUGGCAAAGAAGCGCAGGGACCGCAGCCUGCCCCGGGCCUUUGAGAUCUUCACCGACAGCAAAACCUAUGUUUUCAAGGCCAAAGACAAGAAGAAUGCUGAGGAGUGGCUUCAGUGCAUCAACGUUGCUGUUGCACAGGCUAGAGAGCGGGAGAACCAAGAGGCCACCACCUACUUGUAGAGCUGCUGUCACCUCGGUGGCUGUACCAGCAAACCAAACGUGUCUGGUACCUCUCCAGCACAGAGCACCCCACUGCCGUACCGUGGACCUCUUUCACCUCCAAAAGGCCCGCUGGCUCCUGGAAAACUGUGGGGGAGAUGGUGUGUUGGCGUGGGCCAGGGAGAGCUGUGUGCAGUGCAAGAGUCUAAGGCAUCAGUAAUGGCACGAGGUGAGGAGUGCCACCGUGCGGGAGCGCUCCCUGGCACUGGGACAUUUGCUGGUGUAGAAGCAGCUUCCAUGGCCACAUGUGAAAUGCAGGGUUUUUCUUCAGCCCAAAGGCCUGCAAGCCAGGAGACAUAGCUAGAGACAAACCUGGACCCCAGGCCCCCAGCUGUUACUUCUGAGAUGCACAAAGUUUGGGUGGAGUGUUCAAGCGCGUCUGCAGACCGGACUGCUGCCACCUCCGCUGCCUCUGGAUGUAAAUGAAGCUAUGGAGCCAAACCUCGAUUUAAAGGCAGAAGAGAAAGGGUAACAGAAGAGAUACGAUGGGAAAUUUCCGUGGCCUCUCUGGCAGACAAGGAGAUUCCAGUCAUUUAAUUUUCAAUACCUGGACCAGUAAAUCCUUACUUUACCCACAGGACUCACCAUUGAGCCUAACAGGAAUGAAGUUAAUUCACAGGUGUGAACUCGUGGAUUUAAGGUCUUAAGUUCCAGAACUACAUCCUACACUAAACACUGGAUUCAGCCACCAAGACAUGUCACUGGAGUUCAAUGGUACAGUAAGUGGGCCAUUAAAACAUUUUUUACAGACAAAACAGUCUGUAUUUCUUAAUCUUGAUGCCAAGUUUCAGUCUGCCACUUAUGCAUUACAUCAUCAGUUUAAUGCACACACUUAUCCGCGUGCAUAUAUGUGCGUACAAACGCAUGUUGUCAUCUACCUGACAGAGUAUGGGGAUGUGCAAAAAAAAAAACUUCACCACUGAGUGAUUUCCAGGUCUGAGUGAGAAACUCGCGUAGGGCAAAAACGCAGCUCUGCUUCACCUGCUGUCUCAAGGUUUGUCAUCAGUCGCUUACAUCCUCCCUUUCAAUCUCAACGUGAUUGAAACAAUAUGGAAUGCAUAGCUAUGUAGUUAGAGAGGCUUUGGGUUCUGUGCCAAAAAAUAAUUGCAUAAAGUAAGAAGCUUAGCCACACUUCUCCUGUCUUGAAUUAAAACUUGGAAUAAAACAAAAGAGAAAUUCAGCUGGCAACUUAUUCUAGUCAUCUUCCUAAAAGGAGAAAUGCAGAAAUCAUCAAUCUAGUUAUGAUGAGAGCAGGGAGAUUUAAAAAAAAAUUAAAAAAAAUCCCACUGUUGCAAAUUUUUCUUCUCGAGCAAAUAUAUAAAUAGUUUUUAUUGGUUCUUUUUAAAACAACAUGUAUUGAAACGCUCUAGAUUUAAAUAGCUGCUUCCCUCUGAACAGGGAACACGUUGGUAGUUCCUGUUGUGCUGCAUUUUCUUGGUUUGUUUGCUUGUCUCUGGCAGGAACCACCCCAGCCCUCCACGAAGACACUGCGAGCUCGGCAGAGGGUCCCUGGGCACAGGGUGUGUGGCAGCGUGCUUGGAAAAAGGGAUGCAAACGCCCUCCCUGGCUGCAGUGCCAGGACUCUGCUGAGCGUCCACUCCUGCCAGGAGACCAGCUGCCUUCUCUCUUGCACAACUUUCGGUACAAAACAUGCCAUUGUCUCUGUGGGGGUAAGUUCACCUUUGCUAAAGAAUCUUGUUAUUUGGUCAGUGUUUGGUGGAGGAGAGGAGCCUCAGUCCUACGGCGAGAGGGCCAAGUCCCAACCCUGGCCGUGUGGGAUGCUAAACCCACACAGUGUAUCAGGUACCAUGCUCCCCCUGCCCCCCAUGGGCAGCAGUAGUGCCAUUUCCUGGGGUCCAUGAAAGCAGGCAAGCAUCGCAGGGGUCCUGGCAGCAACGCUGGGGCUCAGCCAGCCGGUCCCUGCAGUGCAGUGAGGUGUCGCCUGCCGGAGCUGUGGCACAAGGUGGCCCAGAGCCCAGGCUGCCAGCAGGGAGAGCUCCCAGCCCAAACCAGCACCCUCCAGCCCUCUCUGCAUACUGGGGGCACACAGCGAGCUUUAGCAUCUAAACCCGAGCCCACAGCUAGAAAGCCAGACCAAAAUACGGACCUGAAGACUCCCAAGUGCGAGCAAGUUCCAAACCUAACAUGAGUUUUACAGAUCAGCAUAACUUCUCUAGGAAAUACACUUCUUCAAAGCAUUGGCUCCAGCUUACAUGAACAUUUUUAUGUAUGGACAAUAAACCACUUUUUUUCUGGAAAACUUGAUGUCCACCAUGAUUUCUGUGCCACACCACAUGUAUCUUUCAGGAAUCCAAGUCUGGGUGAGUGUGUGGCCUCACAUUACACUCAAGAACAACUGGUACUUCAGCAUCACUUCUUCACCGUUCUGACGAUACCACAAAGGGGAACAAUCCAAUGGUUUUGGCACCAAAGAGCUGGCUCACACCUCUGGGGCUAUGGACCAGCCUCAUCAUGUAGCACUUCUGCAGUGAGGACAGGAGCGUGGGUCCUGUCCGCGGGCUCACACGACGCUGGGACCAGCCCUCCCAUUGGUGGGGUGGGGGCUGGCGAAGUUGGAGAAGAGCAGGGAGCCAGCAGCGGGAUGAGCUGGCUCCCAGCUGUGUGCGGUGGCAAUGGUCUGCAGUUGCUUAAAGCACUGGAUUAGUGCAAUCCACAGGGGUUCUAGUGGACCAAAGCCCUGCUGUGAAUGGGAGUUGGACUGGACGACCUCCUGAGGCCUCUUCCAGCAUAAAUUUUUCUGUGAUCUAUAGCAGUGCAAGAGGAUUGCCAAAAAUGUAUCAGCAGCUACCAUCACGUCUUCUAAAACAAACUGCAAAGCACUGCUGCGGCACUGCACAGCCCCUGGCGCCUUGCUAUGCCGUACGGGUGCAGCUGCGUGCAUUUUUCCUCUUGUGAUGCCUGCUAAGAGAAGAGCAGACAAAGCCUAGACUUCUCUGUAAGCAAUGUAGCUAACGAUGAGCUGCUGUGCAAAACUUUCUCACAUGGAAAAUCUCUUUCCCCUCCUUCCUUCAAAACUCUGCUGUCAUAACCAUCUUUCUUCCUGUGCUUGUUUUGGUUACAGCUGUUUGCAUCUCUGUAAGCCCCAGAUGAGUUUCUCCCGUGUGGACCCAUGCGGGGACUCCCAUCAUUGAGCCAUCCACCUGAUCACGGGGAUUGACUCGUGCCAUGCCUGAGUCGGAGCAGGGGCCCUGCAAGCGCCCGUUUGCCAGCCAUGCAGUGCUUGGGGCAACCUGAGAUGUGCAAAGUGUGGGUCCCCUUCUGCUGCUGGCUCCCUUCCUCCUCUUCUCCUCUGAUCUCCAGAACACAGGUAUUACAGACUUCUUACCCUCCAAUUUCCCACUCACGCCUCACGUGGUUUGACUGCCCAUGGCUGCAGGAAGGGGAGCAGCGAGGACUGUCUCUCCUGACCCACCUCUGCUGCAUCCAGCCGUGGUCAGGGAGAGCAGGUGGCACAGUGGGUACAACACGAGGAGCUUACACUGGCACUUACAGCUGCCGCCUGGGCUGAGCUCCACCAUGAGUAACACCACCACUUUUAACAGCUCAGGGGAACACAAAGAAUGAGGUAGUUUAAUGGUAAAAGCUUUGUAAGAUAAAUAUGAAAAUUAUACUUAGCCAGGCAAAUUAUAAGUAAUCAUAUCUUUAACAGAUUUAACUACUUGAUCUAUUUUUCUGUUGCUCACAAGCAAAAUGUUCUUUGUUUCAAGUACAUUUUUUCUAUUAUUCCCUGAAAAAUUCUUGUAUUCCUUCCUGUGAAGUUUUUGCAAACGGCUGUUUCUGAUCACUUGACACGUACACUGUGCUGGUCAGUUUUACUGCCCAAACGGUAUUUCUGUGCCCAGAUGGCAGGACCGUACCUUCUGGAGUCAGAUGACAAACACCAGCGGUCUCCCACAAACCCCCUUAUUACGUUGUUGUUUCUUCCCCAGUGCUAAACUGCCUGCUCUUGAAAAUUCAACUUAAAAUUUUGGACAUUUUUGCUGUGUUUACUAAGUCUCAAGCGGAUCAUAUUCUCAAACCCAACCAAACAACAAUCCAAGGGAGGACUGCAGGAGCGUGCCGGCAGGGCUGGCCAGGCUGUAAGCUCUCCAAACUGUGGCCGCUUCCAUGGGGCUAUUAGUAGCUCCGCUUGACAGUAUUUCCUAGAAAUACAAAUAUAGGUUGUACACUGAAACUGCCUUCCCAGGGCUUGUUUAUGAGAGCUGAGCCCAGUUCUGGGAAGUUUGCCAAGGAAAUGUUACCCUACAGUUCCCUCCCACCUCCCCAAACAAAGCAUUCCCCCAGUGUGUUUGACAGAAACAGAAUAAAACAGGCGAUAAAUGCUUAGGUAUUGCAUACAGGCAUUGCAUGUGGGUAUAAAUGGAAUAAGCUGAACAUUAUUUGUCCAGCUUUGCUGAUUCUGAGCUCAGCAACCCAUGGGAAUAACCUUGCCUGCUUGUUGACAAGUCAUCUAAUUCAUCUUGAUACUGAUGACUAAUAGUCCUCGGGUAAAAUCCUUGGCCUCACUGAGGUCAAAUGCAAAACUACUAUUAACUCUAAUAGGGCCAGAGUUUUACUCCGCUCUCUGCCUGUUGUAGUGGUACCCUUACCGCUUCCUACGAUCACUGGACUUGUCCAGCUGCAGAAACAUGAGCCCUUCCCUCCCCAGCGACAAACCUCAGACACCAGGUUUGUAGUAAGGAGUAUUUCAGCAAGAAAAGCUGUUUCUCUCACUUCUACCAGCAUUGAGCAUCACCUGUGCCUCCAGCAACACACACUGGGGCUUCCUCUCAUGGCAGCUGCUUCAUGGGACCUGUGAGAUGCGGCCACCCUGCAACGUUGCUUCUCCUGCUUUGGGGCAGUGAUGGUACUCCAGCUGGCUUUUCAUGGUGAAAUGGUAAAGCAUGGGGAAACUGGAAUCUGAGGAGGGCCUCACAAACCAGGCAAUGCUCUGGCUGGCAGAAAGCCUCAGAGAAGAUUGCUUAUUGAGGUCGGUGGCAUUGCAGCCCCCGGUCACCCCCCAGCUGGUGCUGAGCGGCUGCUUCUUCCCUGAUUUCACUGUGCAGUGCAUGGUUAAAGAUCAUUAAAAGAACGUGAUCACAGAAAGGACGGCAACGCUCCCAGGUUAGGAGCAAAAAACCCUGUUUUCUAGUUACUGGCAGUUGAUAUUCAUGGAAAAUAUGUGUGCCUGUAAGAGGGUCCUUUGUUUUUACAUACUUUUUGUAAAAGAUAACUUUGCCUUACCACAUAACGCUCUUGUCAACAGCUACAAACCUGUAUUCUGUGGAAUGAAUCUUUAUUUAAGAGUAAACAACAGUAGAAGGCCAUGUGUCACAAGGUGCAAAACAGUUCUGCAACCAAAGGUCUCUGCCUGGUUGUGGUUUGGGGCUUCCAGCCCAAGGGAAAACAUUCAUGGCAAGUAGCGUUGUUUUUCCUUUGAAGAACACAAGUGUGAAGAUCCUUUGCUUCAAUGCAGGUGGUGUUUAGGCAACAGCAGACUGUUUUUCCAGCUGUCCAUGACUGGGUCUGUUCUGACACAGAGAAGCCACCGCUGGGUCUCAGCUGGCCCAGUACCAUGCCAAGGGCAUUGCUGAAUCCCAGCCACGCUCUCGCACAGCCUGCCAGGCUCCACUUUCCCAUUUGGUGGAUCAUGCAUGUUUUCCCCUCUACAUGGUCUCAACCCCGCUCUCCUUGUUAGACCUUACUGAUGUCUUGUUCCUGCUGCUGAAACAUCCACAGUUCUGUGUUGGGUUUAAUGUGUAGGAAUCCACUUGUUUUAUUUUCCUCGACUCAUUAAGUUUCAUUAAGACACGCAGUGCUCUGAGUGUCGGUGCUACCCUUGUUCAGUUACACAGCGGGGACGGCAGGCUGUGCCAGUGCCCCGCUCUUGUGCUGCCCCUCAGCAGCCCGGGAAGGCCGCUCUUCUCUUCUGAAGGAAAGAACUAAUUCUAAAAUAGAUCAGGAAUUCAGAGGGAAACAAAAAAAAACAGCGUCCCUUUCAUUUUGGCCAUGCUUUAUUUAACCUGCUCUGGUCACUCGUUCAAUGAAGUCCCUUUGCAUCCCACUGACCAACGAGCAAGUGAUCAGGACCAACAUCAGCAUCAAAGAAACAGUGGAAGCACAUUUUCCACUAACACCUACAAGGUGUGUCUUUAAAAAUCAUCUAAAACCCACACUGCAAAGAAUCAAAGGCGCUUUCUAAACACACCCCAUGUGUGUACGGGACUGUGACUGCUCCGUUGGCUCUCUGCCGGAGGUUGUACAGUAUUGGGCUCACUGUGUUUUCACCAUGUGGCUUGCAGAUCUGGAUCCAGCACGAUAUGUCUCUCUGAGAACUGGGCCCAGCAAGUUUGACAUGUCCAUCAGUAGGACAAACAGACCUUCAGAGGAGCUCCACAGUUCUCCCACUCCAUGGCUGGGAGUCCAGAGACUAGUCCUGGUGGCACUGCACCAGGAAGAUGCCUUACAUGAAUAGAAGAGGUCAAUUAUUUGUCUAAAAUACCACAAGACCCCUGACAAACCUCAGUUCUACCCCCAAGGCCCUUGGGGACUCCGAAUGAUACAUGUCUAUAAUCCAAGCCCUGGUUUAGCUGCAAACCUCUGACUGUCCUGUCUUCCACACCACCGAGAAUACUCCCUCAAAACAGGGCUGAGUCCUGAGCCCCUGGCAGAGCUCACUGACACAUCGCUGAGGUGUCCCGCGGGGUUUACACCAAGGUGAGAGCCGUCUGAACCUUGCCGUGCUUCACAGGGCAGCGGCAGAAGGUUAGGGAGCACCUUGCUUCCUGCUACGUGGGAGCAGCAAGAAGGGGCCACAGGAGCUAUCUGCAUCUCUCUGCGUCAGCACAAGGCAUUCAGGUGCUACGAGCAUAGGCGGCUGGCAGAACUGCUCAGAGCCCAGUGCAGGGUACCUGCGACUACCCUGAGCAUGUCCGAUCAUUUUAGGGGACAAAUUACUUGACACUCUUCACUCUGUCAAACAUACUACUGGCCACUGGUGGUUGCUUCUGCUUCCUGACAGGAUGGCUGAUGGUGACGGACAGGGGGAAAAGAAAAAGAUAGUAAAUGUUGGGCAGGGAGAAAAAUUUGUCCUGGGCAAUGUUAUUCAGCCAGAAUUUAUCAACAGCUUGAUAAACACCUUGCAGUGUUUUUGUGAUAUGUUUGUGAAUAAUCAAAAAGCAGCAAAUAGAAUAGAAGCUGCAUAUUCAACUGUUCCAGUUCUGUUGAGUGCUUCACAUCUGGUUGUAUACUGGUCCACUUAAUCACUAAAGAGGGUGCAUGUGAAAAGCAGUUGCCCUCUUCAAAAAGCUUAUUUCUGCUUUUGGGCUUCCCUUUCUGCUAUCUAUUAACUCUCCAUACUCACAGCAGCUCACUUUCUCACUCGCAGCCUCCUGUUGCUCUGAUUGUCUUUGACAAGGGCAAUGCAAUGGGGAUGGGGAAGGAUGAUGGAAAACAUUAUGAUUUAUCAGCAGCCUGUUGUACAUACUAUUAUGAAAUGAGAAAUAAAACCCAUGUGUAAAAUAUCAGUAUUGGUACUAAACUAUAAAGCUCAUAAGGCUGUUAACUGUAGGGAAGGCUGUGACGGGGUGGAUCAAUGGUCUCAGACGAAAGCCAGCUGCCCAGUAUCUUGCCUCUGACAGCAGCCAGUAGCGGAUGCUUAAGAAGAAUGUAGGAGAAGACAAGUAUCAAGUGACCCCCUCUCUGCACCAUCCUCUUUGCUAUCACCAGUAGACGCUUCAGGGAACUCCUAACACCAGAUGCUUCUUCCUGAACACUACAUUUAAUAACGAGAUUUUACCCAAUCCUUUUUAAAGUCAUCUGUACUCUUGGCCUCCACAACAUCCUGUGGCUAUGAGUUCCACUGUUUAAUUAUGUGUUGUUUGAUCGUUUCAAUGUCCUCAUCUGCAAAUCUAAUAGCAGCACGAAGGCACUGGAAAACACCUAAGUAAUUC